rnacentral:lncRNA from 1 species
AGGAAGGAAGGAAGGAUGGAAGAAGAAGAAGAUAUAAUAAAUGAGAAAUAAUAAUAAUAAUAAUAAUAAUAAUUAAUAAGGGUACGGCCAAUGGCGAAUUAUUGCGCGCGAGAGGUCACGGUUAUUUGAAAUGAAUUAAUUAACACAGCCGUAUGCUAAUAUAUAAGAUUGUACCUGAAACGGAUUAUUCGACGAAAAAUAUUUUUGUCUUUUUUCUGUGACGAAUUUAGCGAAAUAUAAAUAUUCUCCUAAAACGCUUGUCGAUUAUGAUGAAAUAAAACGAUACGAGGACGAAAGAAGAAAAAUAAUUCCGAGAAAAAUAAAACGAGGAAGAAGAGGAAAAGGAAGAGGAAGAGGAAAUUAAAAAAAAAAAAAGAAAAAACAGAAAAAUGGCUUUUCAUAAAUUUUGCACAAGGAUGUUUCAACGUUUUUGAAAAGUGUGCGCUACUCCAUUCAUUCCAAACGGAUGAUCAACUUUUGCUUUUCGUUUUAAUUCCAAACGUCCUCACGUACUCGCGUUCACGUUUCGAAACGGAAAGAACAAAAUGGAGGAAACGAAAAAAAUAAAAAAGAGAGAAGAUACAUCACUUAGGAUGAAUGGAAAUUGGAGGGUGGAGAAGAGAAAAUAAAGAAUGGGGAAGAAAUGAAAGAAAUGAAAGGAAAGAAAGCGAAGGUACUAUUUAAUUGCAUUCGAGGUUCGACGACGAAAAGCCGAGGACGAGAAGAAGAUGAUUCAAAUUUUUGUCGAGAGAAAGAAAAAGAGAGAGAGAAAGUGAAAGUAUAAAAAAGAAAAAAAAAACCAACAAACAAACAGGGGGAAAACGACGAUGACGGUGGUGGCGGUGGUGGUGGUGGUGGUGGUUUGUGCCGGCUUUGUUCUAUUGUACGCAAUAUUUUUUUCAACGACGCAAAGUUGCAGCGAAAUUUAAAGGGGUGCGAGGGGGGGGGAGGGUGAUACGACAAAAAAAAUAAAAAUAAAACGAGAACAAAUAAUAAUGACGAAACGACGAACGCGAAAGGGUAAUGGAAAGAAAAAAAGAAAAAGAAGAAGGUGGAAACGCGAAAGGGUGGAUGUUACAAAAAGAAGGUGGAGAGGGUAGGGGUGGGGGAAGGGGAAGGAGAAGGAAAUAAUUUUAACACGUGUAAUCGAUCUCACACACGUUUUACACACGCAUACGUUUAAAAUGACAAAAAAAACUGAAUAAAUGAUUAACGUGAUUAAAUAAGAUGAUUGCGCAACGACUGAAUAUAAUUAAUAUAUAAUACUCUUCAAAGUGUGA